GAUGAACGCUAGCUACAGGCUUAACACAUGCAAGUCGAGGGGAAACGAUAGAGAAAGCUUGCUUUUUCUAGGCGUCGACCGGCGCACGGGUGAGUAACGCGUAUCCAACCUGCCCAUCACUUGGGGAUAACCUUGCGAAAGUAAGACUAAUACCCAAUGACGUCUCUAGAAGACAUCUGAAAGAGAUUAAAGAUUUAUCGGUGAUGGAUGGGGAUGCGUCUGAUUAGCUUGUUGGCGGGGUAACGGCCCACCAAGGCGACGAUCAGUAGGGGUUAUGAGAGGAAGGUCCCCCACAUUGGAACUGAGACACGGUCCAAACUCCUACGGGAUGCAGCAGUGAGGAAUAUUGGUCAAUGGACGAGAGUCUGAACCAGCCAAGUAGCGUGCAGGAUGACGGCCCUAUGGGUUGUAAACUGCUUUUAUAAGGGAAUAAAGUGAGUCUCGUGAGACUUUUUGCAUGUACCUUAUGAAUAAGGACCGGCUAAUUCCGUGCCAGCCGCCGCCGUAA
rnacentral:rRNA from 1 species